rnacentral:rRNA from 1 species
UACGUAGGGGGCAAGCGUUAUUCGGAAUGAUUGGGCGUAAAGGGUGCGCAGACAGUCAGCUAAGUCAACUGUUAAAUUUCCCGGCCUAACUGGGAGCACGCAGUAGAAACUGAUUGACUAGAGGAUGGAAGAGAGAAGUGGAAUUCUCGGAGUAGCGGUAAAAUGCGUAGAUCUCGAGAGGAACACCGAUGGCGAAGGCAGCUUCUUGGUCCAUUUCUGACAUUCAUGCACGAAAGCGUGGGGAGCAAACAGG